rnacentral:misc_RNA from 1 species
AGAUCUCUUUAGAAACCGAUAAGUGAGAAAUUUCAUAAGCAAUACUAGGUUUUUUGGAUGAUUGUAUGUAAUUAUUAAUUUGUGAUUAUUGUUACAGGGUGAAGUGGAAAAGGAAAAGCUUGAUUCUUACGAAGUACACUUUUAUGCACCUUGCAAGGAAGAAAUAGAAAAGGUAGCAAGAGAAAACGGGUGUUUUGAAGUGGAGAGGCUUGAAAUGUUUGAAAUAGAGAAAACAAUUGGAAAAGGCAUGAGCUAUGGGACAAUGGUGGCUAUGACAGUUAGAUCAAUCCAAGAAUCAAUGCUGGCUCACCAUUUUG